AAUCCUGGCUCAGGAUGAACGCUAGCUACAGGCUUAACACAUGCAAGUCGAGGGGCAGCAUGUUGGUUUGCUUGCAACCAAUGAUGGCGACCGGCGCACGGGUGAGUAACGCGUAUCCAACCUUCCGCAUACUCGGGAAUAGCCUUUCGAAAGAAAGAUUAAUGCCCGAUGGUUUCCCGAAUCCGCAUGAGAACGGGAAUAAAGAUUCAUCGGUAUGCGAUGGGGAUGCGUCCCAUUAG
rnacentral:rRNA from 1 species